AAACAUAAAUUUGAAGCUUUUAAAAUUUUUUUAAAUCGUAUUUUCAUUUGUUCUCUCAUAUUUUCAUUUGUUCUCUUUCCUUUUUUUCCUUGUUCUCUCUCUCAUUCGAUUGGGUGCUCUCUCUCCCUCGACUCGUCUCCAUCGAAGCGGCGGUCGCAACCUCUGUUCUCUCCGGUAAGCGCUGUCAAUAACCCCCCUCUCUACAGCUCUAUCUCGCAUGGCAGCCCCUGAAUUGUUCAUCUUCUUUUGCCUCAUUUUUGGUUUAUCUAUUAUUAGUAGUGUUAUCCUUUUCGGUCUUUGAUUCUUCCACAAUUUUAUUGUAUUUUUUUUUUUCAUUUCUUGUUAAGAAAUAUAAAAGUUUUUGUUGGUUGUGGUUUAUGGGUUUUUCUUCUUUGAUUCAGAUUCUCUGUUUUUUUUUCUGUUUUGAUUCUUCCCCGAAGCCGUCCGCCUCUUGCACUUUCUGGCGAGAUUCCGACUAGCCCGAGCCUCUAGUUUGAAGAAUGGCACGGGGAAGAGGUGUCAGUCUGGGCUCGUGGUCUUCCUUGUCUCAGAUGCGGGCUCAAUGGCGGGGAUGGGGAUCUACGUACGUUGUGGGGGCUUUGGGGAACAACUGGGUUUGAUCUCUCUCUCCCACUUUCACUCACGGUAACUCACCUCUCUCCCAUGGUAUCUCUCUGUGUUGUUAUAUGUAAAUAUGAUGUAUAUAUGUAUAUAUUGCUGCUGAAAGUAAUAUAGUUGAUAGCAUAAAAAUUAGAGUUGUUGCUAUUUUUUUAUUAUGCAUUCAAGUUACUUAAGAGCGUGCUAGAGAAGUUUAGACUAGAGUGUAUUUUGAUUUCUUAGUCGAGGCCUCUUUAAAACCAACUCAGGAUUCGCCACUGAUUUCAUAAAAUAACCAGGUCUCUACAGAACCGUGCUUUACUGAAGUUGAUACAAGGUAGUCUUGUCUCUUAUUUUCUUCUUUGCCUCUUGUUUUGUUGAAGUUAGUAUUCAUUGAUUUUUUUUUGUCUUUAAAUUGCACUAGAUUCUCCUAUAUUGCAAUAUGCUGCCUUGCAUUGGUGCAUUAGUUGAAUAAAAUUAAUGUUGAGAAGGCUGUGAAGUAUAUAGUUAGUUGCAAAAACCUGGAUGGUGGAUUUGGAUGUACACCAGGUGGAGAGUCUCAUGCUGGGCAAAUUUUCUGUUGUGUGGGAGCUCUUGCUAUUACAGGGUCUCUGCAUCAUAUCGACAAAGACCUUCUCGGGUGGUGGUUGUGUGAGCGGCAAGUCAAAUCUGGAGGUCUUAAUGGGCGCCCAGAGACACUUCCAGAUAUAUGUCUGCUAUUCAUGGUGGGUCCUUUCUAGCCUGAUCAUGAUUGACAUAGUACAUUGGAUUAACAAGGAAAAGCUUGUGAAGUUCAUCUUAGACUGCUAGAAUGUAGAAAAUGGAGGAAUUUCAGAUAGACCGGAUGAUGCAGUUGAUGUCUACCACACAUACUUUGGUGUAGCUGGUAAAAUUACUUGAGUUCUUUCAUUUUCUUUUGAAUUUGCAUGCCGCCCUAUCUCUAUGAAAGUUAACAGUCUAGGAUGCAUUGCAUUUUGAAAGCAUCUGUAAUGCCAAAAUUUCGGAUUUAACUAUUUGUCCUCUAUUAUAAGUUCUGUUCAUAAAAUUGGUACUAUUUCAUAGUUUAGGAAGGGUAAGAUAAUAGAGAGAGACACGUGGGGAUAGUUGAGUAAUCACUUCUACGGGUUUGCAUUUUUUUUUUUGUCUAUGAAAUUUUGAACGUAGGAAUUUAGGAAACGGUGUAGUCAUCUCUUUGGCUUGUGCUCUGAAUUUCAUUAGGUGCUAAUUAAAUGGUCUUUAUGUUGCAUUUUAUUUUUAUGACAUGAAAUAUGGUUGAUGCAGGACUUUCACUUCUUGAAUAUCCAAGAUUGAAAGCCAUAGAUCUAGCCUAUGCUUUGCCGGUUGAUAUUGUAAAUAGAAUUUUCUUGGGCAAAUAAUGAUCCUGAAGAACAACUUAUGAUUGUAAUUAUAACUGAACUCAUUGUUUUCUCUUUUAUAGGAAAUAAAGAAAAUAAUAUAUCUUUAUAUUGAAGUAGAAAUAUAUUGUUAAAGGGAUAAUGCUUUGGACAUUGUUUUGAAUCAAAUGCAGUCUCGUGAUCGUGGUCAUUUGAAUAUGUCAGCUGAUGAAAGAGAAAAGAGACACCAGCAUAAUUUCAUGCAUGUAACAACUCAUACAUCUCAAGAAUGGGCUGCAACCUUUGUUAGUGAACUUAAUGAUACUAUUGUGGAAGCUCAACUGAGGACUAGGCAAGUUCUACCUCUACUUCCUAUAAAAGAAGUCGUUGAUCACUAUUUGGAAUCCAAUAAUAGAUGAUUAUUAGUUUAUUUACAUUAAUUUACUAAGGAAUGGAAUGAACUUUAUGAAGUUUUUUUAUUUUGGUAGGGGUAACCUUAAAAUGAUAACUUUAUGACUUAUUUUAGUAUUGAACAUUAUAAAGAA